GACGAACGCUGGCGGCGGGCUUAACACAUGCAAGUCGAACGGAAAGGCCCUGCUUUUGUGGGGUUCUCGAGUGGCGAACGGGUGAGUAACACGUGAGUAACCUGCCCUUGACUUUGGUAUAACUUCAGGAAACUGGGGCUAAUACCGUAUAGGAUCUCCUGCUGCAUUGUGGGGGUUGGAAAUUUUCGGCGGUUGGGGAUGGACUCGCGGCUUAUCAGCUUGUUGGUUGGGUAGGUGCUUACCAAGGCUUUGACGGGUAGCCGGCCUGAGAGGGUGACCGGCCACCUUGGGACUGAGAUACGGACCAGAGUCCUACGGGAGGCAGCAGUGGGGAAUAUUGCACAAUGGGCGGAAGCGUGAUGAAGAAACGCUGCGUGCGGGAUGACGGCCUUCGGGUUGUAAACCGCUUUCGCCUGUGACGAAGCGUGAGUGACGGUAAUGGGUAAAGAAGCACCGGCUAACUACGUG
rnacentral:rRNA from 1 species